rnacentral:rRNA from 1 species
UACACUCCUACGGGAGGCAGCAGUGGGGAAUUUUGGACAAUGGGCGAAAGCCUGAUCCAGCCAUGCCGCGUGCAGGAUGAAGGCCUUCGGGUUGUAAACUGCUUUUGUACGGAACGAAACGGCCUUUUCUAAUAAAGAGGGCUAAUGACGGUACCGUAAGAAUAAGCACCGGCUAACUACGUGCCAGCAGCCGCGGUAAUACGUAGGGUGCAAGCGUUAAUCGGAAUUACUGGGCGUAAAGCGUGCGCAGGCGGUUAUGUAAGACAGUUGUGAAAUCCCCGGGCUCAACCUGGGAACUGCAUCUGUGACUGCAUAGCUAGAGUACGGUAGAGGGGGAUGGAAUUCCGCGUGUAGCAGUGAAAUGCGUAGAUAUGCGGAGGAACACCGAUGGCGAAGGCAAUCCCCUGGACCUGUACUGACGCUCAUGCACGAAAGCGUGGGGAGCAAACAGGAUUAGAAACCCCGGUAGUCCCA